rnacentral:piRNA from 1 species
UAGCCUCACUUUGAAUUCAGCAUUGAGCUGUU